rnacentral:rRNA from 1 species
UGUGGUUUAAUUCGAUGCAACGCGAAAACCUUACCACCUUUGACAUGUACGGAAUCCUUUAGAGAUAGAGGAGUGCUCGAAAGAGAGCCGUAACACAGGUGCUGCAUGGCUGUCGUCAGCUCGUGUCGUGAGAUGUUGGGUUAAGUCCCGCAACGAGCGCAACCCUUGUCAUUAGUUGCUACGAAAGGGCACUCUAAUGAGACUGCCGGUGACAAACCGGAGGAAGGUGGGGAUGACGUCAAGUCCUCAUGGCCCUUAUAGGUGGGGCUACACACGUCAUACAAUGGCUGGUACAAAGGGUUGCCAACCCGCGAGGGGGAGCCAAUCCCAUAAAGCCAGUCGUAGUCCGGAUCGCAGUCUGCAACUCGACUGUGUGAAGUCGGAAUCGCUAGUAAUCGUGGAUCAGCAUGUCACGGUGAAUACGUUCCCGGGUCUU